GCAAGUCGAACGGUGAAGCGGAGCUUGCUCUGCGGAUCAGUGGCGAACGGGUGAGUAACACGUGAGCAACCUACCCUUGACUCUGGGAUAACAGUUGGAAACAGCUGCUAAUACCGGAUAUGACCCUGGUGGACAUCCACUGGGGUGGAAAGCUCCGACGGUCAAGGAUGGGCUCGCGGCCUAUCAGCUUGUUGGUGAGGUAACGGCUCACCAAGGCGUCGACGGGUAGCCGGCCUGAGAGGGCGACCGGCCACACUGGGACUGAGAUACGGCCCAGACUCCUACGGGAGGCAGCAGUGGGGAAUAUUGCACAAUGGGCGAAAGCCUGAUGCCAGCAACGCCGCGUGCGGGAUGACGGCCUUCGGGUUGUAAACCGCUUUCAGCAGGGACGAAGGGUUUCUGACGGUACCUGCAGAAGAAGCACCGGCUAACUACGUGCCAGCCGCCGC
rnacentral:rRNA from 1 species